rnacentral:rRNA from 1 species
ACACAUGCAGUCGAGCGGAUGACAGGAGCUUGCUCCUGAAUUCAGCGGCGGACGGGUGAGUAAUGCCUAGGAAUCUGCCUGGUAGUGGGGGCCAACGUUUCGAAAGGAACGCUAAUACCGCAUACGUCCUACGGGAGAAAGCAGGGGACCUUCGGGCCUUGCGCUAUCAGAUGAGCCUAGGUCGGAUUAGCUAGUUGGUGAGGUAAUGGCUCACCAAGGCGACGAUCCGUAACUGGUCUGAGAGGAUGAUCAGUCACACUAGAACUGAGACACGGUCCAGACUCCUACGGGAGGCAGCAGUGGGGAAUAUUGGACAAUGGGCGAAAGCCUGAUCCAGCCAUGCCGCGUGUGUGAAGAAGGUCUUCGGAUUGUAAAGCACUUUAAGUUGGGAGGAAGGGCAUUAACCUAAUACGUUAGUGUUUUGACGUUACCGACAGAAUAAGCACCGGCUAACUCUGUGCCAGCAGCCGCGGUAAUACAGAGGGUGCAAGCGUUAAUCGGAAUUACUGGGCGUAAAGCGCGCGUAGGUGGUUUGUUAAGUUGGAUGUGAAAUCCCCGGGCUCAACCUGGGAACUGCAUUCAAAACUGACAAGCUAGAGUAUGGUAGAGGGUGGUGGAAUUUCCUGUGUAGCGGUGAAAUGCGUAGAUAUAGGAAGGAACACCAGUGGCGAACGCGACCACCUGGACUGAUACUGACACUGAGUGCGAAAGCGUGGGGAGCAAACAGGA